AGGUUCAGUGAGUUUGGAACCGAUGGAGGACAACAGCAAAGUCUGAAGCCAAAGUUCAACCUCUUUGUCAAGCAGGUGUCCGCCAGCAUUGGGAUGGCAGAGCCACACAUUGAUAUCAAGUCUUUCAUUGCCUUUACCGUGUUUCUUAAAGCCUUUGGUGGUCUGCUUUUCAUCAUCAGCAGCUCGUUUGGAGCAUUCGUACUGGUGUGUACUCUUCUUCUGAAUGCACUGUAUCAAGAAUUAUUUCAUGUUAAGGGGGUAUCAAGAUGCAUACUAUUGUGGCUGCCAUUAAUGUAG
rnacentral:rRNA from 1 species